rnacentral:rRNA from 1 species
UACAGGGGGUGCAAGCGUUAUUCGGAAUUAUUGGGCGUAAAGAGCGUGUAGGUGGUUUAUUAAGUUUGGUGUGAAAGCCCUGGGCUCAAUCCAGGAAGUGCAUUGAAUACUGGUAGACUAGGGUAGAGGAGAGGAUGGCGGAAUUCCAGGUGUAGAGGUGAAAUUCGUAGAUAUCUGGAGGAACAACAGUGGCGAAGGCGGCCAUCUGGACUCUUACUGACACUAAGGCGCGAAAGCGUGGGGAGCGAACAGG